rnacentral:rRNA from 1 species
GACGAACGCUGGCGGCGUGCUUAACACAUGCAAGUCGAACGGAAAGGCCCUGCUUUUGUGGGGUGCUCGAGUGGCGAACGGGUGAGUAACACGUGAAUAACCUGCCCUUGACUUUGGGAUAACUUCAGGAAACUGGGGCUAAUACCGGAUAGGAGCUCCUGCUGCAUGGUGGGGGUUGGAAAGUUUCGGCGGUUGGGGAUGGACUCGCGGCUUAUCAGCUUGUUGGGGGGGUAGUGGCUUACCAAGCCUUUGACGGGUAGCCGGCCUUGGAGGGUGGCCGGCGACAUGGGGACUGAGAGAGGGAGCAGACGGCUACGGGAGGCAGCAGUGGGGAAUAUUGCACAGUGGGCGGAAGCCUGAUGCAGCAGCGCCGCGUGCGUGAUGACGUCCUUCGGGUUGUAAACCGCUUUCGCCUGAGACGAGGCGUGAGUGACGGUAAUGGGUAAAGAAGCACCGGCUAACUACGUG